CUGGGGGACGCCGGCCGGAGCGGCCUCUGGGGCUCACAUCAGGUUAAGCGCCCAGAGGAAGAGCGGCGUCCUCACGGCCUCGGCCUCGCUGAGCUAAGGAACAGGUCAGGAGCUUCGGGUGGCCAUGCUUCCUGUGCCCUAUCCUCGCCAGGAUGAAGCCAUCCCACGUAAGAGAAAAUGAGGCCCAAGCACACAGAAAAGUCAAGAUGAGUGCAGAGAAAGGCGUGGAGAGUCCAGAGUGGAAAAACUUGACAAUACAAUUUGUUUACUUGGACGCAGUGAUCCCAGUCCCAGGGUCCCCCGCCCCCAGCUCCCGCCCUGGUACAAGCACCAGGAACUCUCCUUCUCUAGUUACUCAACAACAUUUAUUGAGCACCAACUAACUGCUGGAUCUCUUAGAUCCUGGGGAUACAACAAGGAAGAAAACAACCAACCAACCAUGAUUUACGACUUGGGGGAGUCAUUCCCGUACCAGGAAGUGGGGACACCAUCCAGCCAACUGGCCAGGGCCAAAUCCCAGGAAUCCUUCUCUGACUAUGGAGCCCUUUCAGGAGGCUCCUCCUAAACCCAGCCCAAAUCUGCCCACUUCUCACUAUGUCCUCGGCUUAGCCGGGGCCCAGAACGACCUGGUGUCUUGGCUAAAUCACUGUGACAGUUUUCCGAGCAUGCCAUUUGCCUCCAACGUUGCCUCCGCCACCACCAAGUCCAUUCAGCACACAGAAGUCACAGUGGUUUUUGCAAAACAAAAAAUCAGUUCAUACACUGUCAAACCUAACAGAUCUGCUGAGAGCAAACAUCUAGAUAGUUGUAUCUAUGUCAGUAAUAAAAUGAAUGCUACCAGCAGGAGGCGAGUACGAGUUUGUGAGACUCUCUUGGUGUAUGUGAAGAGUCAAUGCUGGUUUUGUGUUCUUUGACAGUGGAAAAUAUCAUAAUGAUGCAUUCAGUUGUAUAAUUUGCUUCUGCCAAAAAAUAAAUAAAGCUAGUUUGUGUCCCUCUCCUGCUUAAAACCCUGCAGUCGCUUCUCAGAGCAACUACACAUAAAAUCCAAACACCUUACCUUAGUGGACAGGAGCCUAGGUGAUCUGUGGCUUCCUCCCAUCCUCCCUCUGCUGGCACUGUCUUCCCCCUCACUGCCUCCUGCUUCAGCUCUACCAGUUUUUUUCUCCCCCUAAUACAUACCAGCCGAGUUUGAAUCUCAAGGCCUUUACCUUUACCGUUCCUCUUUCUUGGGACACCCUUCCCCCAGAUCUUUGCAAGCCUGUCCCCUUUCCAAUGUUCAAAGGUAACAGGAUAUUCAGUGGGGUUUUUAUUGUCUAGGAAUUCCAGCUAAAGCCCAGAGGUGAAGACAAGGUUCUAAGCAUCCACCAUCUCAAGAGAGCUGCCCCUUCCCCUCCACACCCCAGAGUACCAGGUUCCCUUGCUGGGGUUUACUGAAAAGGUGUCAGAAUGUGCCCAUCAACUGUCCUCCAGGCCUCCUUUCUAAUCUUCAUAAGAUGACUGGGACUGAGAAGAAAAAGGUGGGCUAGAGCCAGAA